UAAUACGGAGGGUGCAAGCGUUGUUCGGAAUUAUUGGGCGUAAAGGGCGCGUAGGCGGGUUCUUAAGUCUGAUGUGAAAUCCCUCGGCUCAACCGAGGACGUGCAUUGGAUACUGGGAACCUUGAGUCCUGGAGAGGAAAGCGGAAUUCCAAGUGUAGAGGUGAAAUUCGUAGAUAUUUGGAGGAACACCAGUGGCGAAGGCGGCUUUCUGGACAGUGACUGACGCUGAUGCGCGAAAGCGUGGGUAGCAAACAGGAUUAGAUACCCUGGUAGUCCACGCCGUAAACGAUGGGUACUAGUUGGUGCGGGUGUUGACUCCUGCGCUGACGGAGCUAACGCGUUAAGUACCCCGCCUGGGGAGUACGGCCGCAAGGCUA
rnacentral:rRNA from 1 species